GAUUCUGGCUCAGGAUGAACGCUAGCGGCAGGCUUAACACAUGCAAGUCGAGGGGCAUCGGGAGUAGCAAUACUGCCGGCGACCGGCGCAAGGGUGCGUAACGCGUGAGCAACAUGCCCGUAUCAGGGGGAUAAUCCAUGGAAACGUGGUCUAAUACCCCAUAGUAAUUAUGUAAGGCAUCUUAUAUAAUUUAAAGCUUUGGUGGAUACGGAUUGGCUCGCGUGACAUUAGCUAGAUGGUAAGGUAACGGCUUACCAUGGCUACGAUGUCUAGGGGUUCUGAGAGGAAGGUCCCCCACACUGGAACUGAGACACGGUUCAGACUCCUACGGGAGGCAGCAGUGAGGAAUAUUGGACAAUGGAUGGAAAUCUGAUCCAGCCAUGCCGCGUGCAGGAAGACGGCCCUAUGGGUUGUAAACUGCUUUUGUAUGGGAGCAAUAAGGGCUACGUGUAGUCCGAUGAGAGUACCAUACGAAUAAGCACCGGCUAACUCCGUGCCAGCCGCCGC
rnacentral:rRNA from 1 species